UACGGCUUUUCUUUUGUUCUUUGGUGCCUGCCAGGGUUAGGUGUGGCGGCCGGCGAGCGGCGCUGGCGGUGGCGGAGGGGAGGUGGCCCUCGCCCUCGCCCUCGCUCGCCUCUAGGGCGGGGGCGGGGCGACCUGCCUGUCAACUAUGUCGGUCGAUACCUAUUAUAGUGAGUCUAAGAUUUUCUACGAGUCCUAGGCCUAUUGUUGUAUUCCGAUCAUCGUCUUACGUUUGAGUUCGUCGAGGUCCUCGCAUUAGCAGGGUUGAAGGAGGACAGUAAUAGUCGUCUCGAGAGCUCACUACGUUCAGGCGGGCUCACGUCUACGGAACGACCGUAAUACGACUUCUUAAGACACCUUCCUUUCAUAAGACUUCUAUUGUCGUAGGAGUAGCUUGUUACCUUGUUGGACCUAGUUACAUAGUUUAGGGUCUAAUUCCUCAGUAACGACUAUUGUGAUCCUAGAAACCGAGGAGUCCGCUCCGUACGGAGUAGUGUCUAAUAACCGUCCGAACGUAUAUAACUCUAUGGGAGGGUCCCCACCGUUCUGGAGUAACCGUCUAAUGACGUGUUGUACCGUGGCGUCCCACGAAGAGGACGAUGUGAUUUCGUUCGUUGAGAUCUCCGCGACCUCGUACACAAACUCCUCUUCUGGAACUCCAAGCUCUUUCUGUGUUAAUUACCACAAGACCUACGGCAGUAGGCCCGUUACUUGGUGGUCCGUCUCUUUUCAAAAGUUCAGGCACAACGCCGCCAAUUUCGAGAUGUCUUACAAGUAUUCAAACGACUGAAACGUUCACUACUACUAACGUCUUUAGCAUAUUACUGACGUUAUAGACUACGUCGAUUUAGGCUACUUCGUCACCUCCAGUUCGUACGUCGUAAGCCGACGGAAUGACGUUAGCGUAGGUUUAUAAUAUACCUCAAUCUUGGAAUGUACCUUUGGUGUGAGUCGGAAUGUUGACUUCGAAACCCGAACCUUCCUCCACACCUGCUUUGUCGACACGAGCUUACAUAGCUCAAGACCUCGUGAUAAACAUCUUUUCACUAAUUUGAGGCUCUUUUUUCUUUUGCGAAAGGAGCACAAUAUAACUGGCGUCUAACAGUGAAGGAACUCUUAGGGGAAACAAGUGAACAAGGUGAAGACGAUGUUUGAGACAGCAAUGUGGUUCUUUCUCUACAACUACUUGACUUGUAGAAGUACUCACGAUACUGUACGGAUCCGGAGCAGCGAUCUUGAUAGCCCCUACGUCAACAGGGUAAACGUUCCGUCAAAUAGCUCCCAUUGUAGUUUCACCGUCUAACCGCAUCAGCGUUCUGUCGAUAAAGACAUGAUCCGCAAUAGGAACUUCCCGGAAGAUAACUUUUUGAGCGAGGACACCAGCCAAACAACUACCUGUUCUACCUUCUGGGUGUGUACCUCUAUUCUCCGUGGCGAUGUACGUGAGAACCCGUCCACAAACUCGAAGACGUAAGAGGUCGAGAACUAUUUUCUAAAAAGUGUUUACUUCUGAAAGGAGCGUAGUACCGACGCAAUAGUUUCUCCCCAUUUCUACAAGGUCUUCACAGGUUCCUUCAGACACUUCGAUAUAUAAAAGAACGGGCUCCAAUACUACACGGUUAGAGUAGACUCCAUCUGGUAAGUUUUUUCUUUUAGAGUAGACUUGAAAGUGGAAAAGAAUCACCACAAUAGCUACGAUAGGAAAGACGAAGCCUUGAACUAUUCUUCUGGGGAAAGCCCGAAGGACGUAGACGUAGACGAAUACCGCGUAACUAACUCUAACACUCUCAUUCGUUGUAUACCCUAAAACUUCGACAUUAUCGAUAAUACCUAAACUACGGAGCAUAGUACGCUUCUAAUUUGUGUCGCGAACUACGGUUUCGUUAAAGUAGUCUACUGUUCUGAUUGUCCGUUUUAGAAGUCCGCAACGACACACUGCAUGACGUACGGUAUUAGCUCUUUGACCCGUUAAGCGAAGUGCGCCUGUUCCAAUCCCUCAGACGAGUCAGAUACAGCGAAGUCAAAACGGCACAGGACUGGACGCUGACAAGAUGGCGUGCACUAUUUCGUCGCGAACGACAACCACGAGACCGAGCACGGCAGCCAGGUUUCAAAGACCUAGUGUACGGUUAUAAAAACGUCAUAAUGUCGCACUUCGAUAAGAGGGGAUAGAUAAAUCUCCACUAACCAUGAUAGAAAGUACAGAACCCUCUACUUUAGGACGGUACGACACUACUAUACUACCUACAAGAAAUGCUUCCAGAGAGUUUUGGAUUCGAAUUUGGAGUUUAAAACCGUACGAAACCUCUCUAGCGAGAACGAUAGCCGUUCGUAAAACUCCUCAUGGUGGACGUCCGACAAUCCUUUUUCGACUUUCUUCGACGAUUGGGUUCUAUAAUACGGUUACAAAGACUACUCCUAUUCCAACUAAUGCCAUUGGUCGAAUCUGUCCCUUAUACGUUCCGAAUGAGACCGUAUAACGCCCCAUAUUUCCUGGUUUUUAGACCCAACUUCCAUCGUCGCCUAGAUCAACUCAAGUAACUUCGACAGAGACUCCUGCUCUCGUCCCUACGUUCCCACUGUAGGCGACGUCAACUACACAACCUAGUCAAACCAAAGUACCGCCUCAGUACCUUUUUCCCUGACUAAAGCCUUAAUCCCUCCAUUGUAUAUUCUCCUCCUUGAGCAAGACGAAGAAAAAACCGUUCAACGGUGUCUACGUACCUUCCUGUCGUUGUACACACACAGCAACCAUCAUACUACUACAUAAAACCACCGUUAACCUACCUGUCGGUUUGACUUGAGCAGAUCAUCAGCCGCAUACAGAUAAACGAUCGACAACAGCAACUCGAACGUCUAAUACAUACUAAUUGGUUAGGACUUAAGGACGAACACUAACCAUCCCACACGACAGUUCUGGUCAACAACCACCUCGACUAAUUGGUUAGGACUUAAGGACGAACACUAACCAUCCCACACGACAGUUCUGGUCAACAACCACCUCGACAGACACGACAACCGUACGCACUUGGUAUAUAUAAUGAGGGUGGCAAGGAUUUAUAUUCAGAAAAAUCUCUAAAGUUAUGCUUGAUGUAUACCUCG
rnacentral:rRNA from 1 species